GACGAACGCUGGCGGCGUGCCUAAUACAUGCAAGUUGAGCGCUGAAGGUUGGUACUUGUACCAACUGGAUGAGCAGCGAACGGGUGAGUAACGCGUGGGGAAUCUGCCUUUGAGCGGGGGACAACAUUUGGAAACGAAUGCUAAUACCGCAUAAAAACUUUAAACACAAGUUUUAAGUUUGAAAGAUGCAAUUGCAUCACUCAAAGAUGAUCCCGCGUUGUAUUAGCUAGUUGGUGAGGUGAAGGCUCACCAAGGCGAUGAUACAUAGCCGACCUGAGAGGGUGAUCGGCCACAUUGGGACUGAGGCACGGCCCAAACUCCUACGGGAGGCAGCAGUAGGGAAUCUUCGGCAAUGGACGAAAGUCUGACCGAGCAACGCCGCGUGAGUGAAGAAGGUUUUCGGAUCGUAAAACUCUGUUGGUAGAGAAGAACGUUGGUGAGAGUGGAAAGCUCAUCAAGUGACGGUAACUACCCAGAAAGGGACGGCUAACUACGUG
rnacentral:rRNA from 1 species